rnacentral:lncRNA from 1 species
UUCAUUCAUUUUGUUACAAACUAAUUAUUCAAUUCAAAGCUGCUAUGUCACUCUAGUUUUCAGACAUUUGAAAGCUAUGAUAUAAUGAAUGGCAUCUUGUUAGCGAUAUAACAAUACAAAUUACACCUGCUUAACAUUGAUGUCACUGGCAACCAUAGAAAAGCAAAAUACUCAUCACUUGAACACAAAAUAUCUUAGCUAGACUAAUAAAUAUUCAAUGUAAAACCAGAAAGCAAGUUUUCUGUUUCCCCUUCUCGGGAACCAUAAUCUGCCAAUCAUUGGUUGCAGCAGAUAUUACAUACACACCAUUCUUGAUAAGACUGCAGACCUCUCUUUCAAAUUCACAUAACACAGACUAAGCUACAUAUAAAUAACACUGCUUGCUCAUAACAGCAGCAGUAACUGUACAGAUCUACAGCAGGAUACACACAUCUGAGUUGAACGUAAGCUACAGAAAUUUUUCCCAUAUAGAUUGAAAAUUAUUCAGAGUUAACUUCAGCGACAGAACAGCACAGGCAAGAUUUGACGUUCAAGACAUGUCAAUAACACUAUUUUUACUAGUGAUCAUGUUGAACACAUCAGUAUGUAUAGACAUUACCUACCAUGUGAAAGAGGGUCAGAAUCCUGAUACUCUGGUAGGAAACAUUGCUGCUGAUGCACAUCUCUACAACAGCUUUCAUGCUGAAGACUUAAAUAGGAUUACAUUCAGCAGACUCCAUGAGAGUCUCAGUGGAAAUGCUCCAAUGUUUAAGGUUGGCAAAAAUGGAAUGAUGUAUACUUCUCAAACGCUUGACGCUGAAUUACUUUGUAAAUACAACACAGAAUGUUUCAAAAUAGUGGAAGUAGCUGUUCGGCAUAAAGAAUCUUUUGUGAAGGUCA